UACGUAGGUGUCAAGCGUUGUCCGGAUUUAUUGGGCGUAAAGCGUCUGUAGGUGGUUUAAAAAGUCCACUGUUAAAAAUUGAAGCUUAACUUCAAAGAUGCCGUGGAAACUUUUAAACUUGAGUAUGGUAGGGGUAGAGGGAAUUUCCAGUGGAGCGGUGAAAUGCGUAGAUAUUGGAAAGACCACCAAUGGCGAAGGCACUCUACUGGGCCAUUACUGACACUGAGAGACGAAAGCUAGGGGAGCAAAUGGG
rnacentral:rRNA from 1 species